UGCUGAAGGACGAAGAAGACAAUGAAGACCGUGAAGAGGUCCAUCCACACUGGGCAGCCAUUCUUUUCUCCACUGGAAACCAGUCUCUACCUCACUUCCAUUUUCUCUGCGAAUACCAAGAAGAUCAGAAUCAGAGUGAAAAAGAAGGUGCUGAUUUGGCUGG
rnacentral:lncRNA from 1 species